GACGAACGCUGGCGGCGUGCUUAACACAUGCAAGUCGAACGGAAAGGCCCUGCUUUUGUGGGGUGCUCGAGUGGCGAACGGGUGAGUAACACGUGAGUAACCUGCCCUUGACUUUGGGAUAACUUCAGGAAACUGGGGCUAAUACCGUAUAGGAGCUCCUGCUGCAUGGUGGGGAUUGGAAAGUUUCGGCGGGUGGGGAUGGACUCGCGGCUUAUCGGCUUGUUGGUGGGGUAGGUGCUUACCAAGGCUUUGACGGGUAGCCGGCCUGGGAGGGUGGCCGGCCACCUGGGUCCUGAGAGACGGCGCAGACUCCUACGGGAGGCAGCAGGGGGGAAUAUUGCACAGUGGGCGGAAGCCUGAUGCAGCAACGCCGCGUGCGGGAUGCCGGCCUUCGGGUUGUAAACCGCUUUCGCCUGUGACGAAGCGUGAGUGACGGUAAUGGGUAAAGAAGCACCGGCUAACUACGUG
rnacentral:rRNA from 1 species